rnacentral:rRNA from 1 species
UACGUAGGGGGCAAGCGUUGUCCGGAUUUACUGGGCGUAAAGGGCGCGUAGGCGGCCCGCUAAGUCGAACGUGAAAUCCCCGAGCUCAACUCGGGAACUGCGUCCGAUACUGGUGGGCUUGAAUCCGGGAGAGGGAUGCGGAAUUCCAGGUGUAGCGGUGAAAUGCGUAGAUAUCAGGAGGAACACCGGCGGUGUAGACGGCUAUCUGGACAGUAACUGACGCUGAGACACGAAAGCGUGGGGAGCAAACAGG